rnacentral:rRNA from 1 species
AGAGUUUGAUCAUGGCUCAGAGCGAACGCUGGCGGCGUACUUAACACAUGCAAGUCGAACGAGGAGUGCCGGUGUAGCAAUACAUCGGUGCUUCUAGUGGCGCACGGGUGAGUAACACGUGGGCAACCUGCCCUUGAGCCCGGGAUACCCUCUCGAAAGGGAGGCUAAUACCGGAUACGUUCCUCGGGUCGCAAGAUCCGGGGAGGAAAGGUGGCGAAAGCUAUCACUCUUGGAGGGGCUCGCGGCCUAUCAGCUAGUUGGUGAGGUAACGGCUCACCAAGGCUAUGACGGGUAGCUGGUCUGAGAGGACGACCAGCCACACGGGAACUGAGACACGGUCCCGACUCCUACGGGAGGCAGCAGUGGGGAAUUUUCCGCAAUGGGCGAAAGCCUGACGGAGUGACGCCGCGUGGGGGACGAAGGCCUUCGGGUCGUAAACCCCUGUCAGAGGGAAAGAAGGGUCGCCGACCUAACACGUCGGUGAUCUGACGGUACCUUCAGAGGAAGCCCCGGCCAACUCUGUGCCAGCAGCCGCGGUAAGACAGAGGGGGCAAGCGUUGCUCGGAAUCACUGGGCGUAAAGGGCGCGUAGGCGGGAUGGCAAGUCGGUCGUGAAAUCCUUCGGCCCAACCGAAGAACGUCGGCCGAUACUGCCGUUCUUGAGGGAUGCAGAGGAGACUGGAAUUCCCGGUGUAGCGGUGAAAUGUGUAGAGAUCGGGAGGAACACCGGUGGCGAAGGCGGGUCUCUGGGCAUUUCCUGACGCUGAGGCGCGAAAGCGUGGGGAGCAAACGGGAUUAGAUACCCUAGUAGUCC